GGCAUCUGCAGGGAACGCGGACGGUGCACGGGCGGCUCGACAGACUCUGUUCCCAAGAAACCUCGUCCUGGGCCCCCCUGCAGGAGCUUUUCCGAGAAAGGAGACAUGGGCCCCAACAUGGUGUAGCCUGCCCAGGCGGGAAGGGCUGAGAGGGAAGCAUGAGAAGGCGCGAAUGCGCUGGCUCCAGCCUCCCGCAACCUGAUCCGGUGUUUUCUGCUCGGCUACUGCUGACGCUUCAGGAUGCCCGGAUCCUAUUGGACGCCGGAUGCAGGUGCAGCCCUGCAGGCGGACGGUCUCAGCCCUCCUCCAAUUUUAUUGACCAGUGAGAGCUUCAAGGAGAAGAACAUGAUUUACGUUGAGUUUUUAAAAAUAUUUGGUUGGUCUUGGGUCCCAUGACCCUACACAGGCGCUUCUGUAAAUCCAAGUUCUGCAGGUUGGAGACUCCUGCGGUAAAACGGGACCGUUUCGCAUCUUUCCGUGAGUGAAUGGCCACUAAAAGUACAGCAAAAAAGAUGAUAACUUGACAUAUUUAGGGAAUUUUUAUUUGGAAAACAUUGGGAGUACUUUUAAUAAAUGGUGUUUUGAGAACGGC